GGAAGAUCAAGAGCAAGUUAUGAAUGACAGCCUACUAUAUGUUUGUAUUACAUUCAUAGACGUUCAUUUAAAAGUACUGUAGGUUAUCCAUAUUAUAACCUAUUGUCUGUGUCAUUUGUACUCUUGAUUUAACGAGAGGAACAGAUUUCAACAAGAUGUUAAAAGAUAUGUUGACUAUCUCUGAAUUGAUUAUUUGCCUCUGCUUAAGAUGUCAAGGUUUUCAAAAUAAGCUUAUCAUUUCGACUUAUGGUACUAUCAAAGAACUUAACUUGCAAAAUGGAGAAGAAUUGGAACUUCAGACUGACCUUCAUAGCUUUAUCUAUUCUGUAGACUAUGAUUAUAGAAAUGGAUAUAUAUAUUUUUCAAGAUAUACAAAAAAAUGAUAUACAAAGAUACAAAGAGGUUGAUGACCAUUUUUUAGUUACUUUCAACUAUAAUCAGACAAUAUUUUGAAUACCAUUGAAACUAAUUUUAACUAUACUAGCUUUAACA